CCUACGGGCGGCAGCAGUGGGGAAUAUUGGACAAUGGGGGCAACCCUGAUCCAGCCAUGCCGCGUGUGUGAAGAAGGCCCUCGGGUUGUAAAGCACUUUCAGUGAGGAAGAACGCCUGGUGGUUAAUACCCAUCAGGAAAGACAUCACUCACAGAAGAAGCACCGGCUAACUCCGUGCCAGCAGCCGCGGUAAUACGGAGGGUGCGAGCGUUAAUCGGAAUUACUGGGCGUAAAGCGCGCGUAGGUGGCUUGAUAAGCCGGUUGUGAAAGCCCCGGGCUCAACCUGGGAACGGCAUCCGGAACUGUCAAGCUAGAGUGCAGGAGAGGAAGGUAGAAUUCCCGGUGUAGCGGUGAAAUGCGUAGAGAUCGGGAGGAAUACCAGUGGCGAAGGCGGCCUUCUGGACUGACACUGACACUGAGGUGCGAAAGCGUGGGUAGCAAACAGGACUAGAUACCCCUGUAGUC
rnacentral:rRNA from 1 species